UGACAACACUUCUAGCUGCCUGUUUGUGC
rnacentral:piRNA from 1 species